UAAGGGCGCACGGUGGAUGCCUUGGCACUAGAAGCCGAUGAAGGACGUUACUAACGACGAUAUGCUUUGGGGAGCUGUAAGUAAGCUUUGAUCCAGAGAUUUCCGAAUGGGGAAACCCAGCAUGAGUUAUGUCAUGUUAUCGAUAUGUGAAUACAUAGCAUAUCAGAAGGCACACCCGGAGAACUGAAACAUCUUAGUACCCGGAGGAAGAGAAAGAAAAUUCGAUUCCCUUAGUAGCGGCGAGCGAAACGGGAAGAGCCCAAACCAACAAGCUUGCUUGUUGGGGUUGUAGGACACUCUAUACGGAGUUACAAAGGACGACAUUAGACGAAUCAUCUGGAAAGAUGAAUCAAAGAAGGUAAUAAUCCUGUAGUCGAAAAUGUUGUCUCUCUUGAGUGGAUCCUGAGUACGACGGAGCACGUGAAAUUCCGUCGGAAUCUGGGAGGACCAUCUCCUAAGGCUAAAUACUCUCUAGUGACCGAUAGUGAACCAGUACCGUGAGGGAAAGGUGAAAAGCACCCCGGAAGGGGAGUGAAAUAGAACCUGAAACCGUGUGCUUACAAGUAGUCAGAGCCCGUUAAUGGGUGAUGGCGUGCCUUUUGUAGAAUGAACCGGCGAGUUACGAUUUGAUGCAAGGUUAAGCAGUAAAUGUGGAGCCGUAGCGAAAGCGAGUCUGAAUAGGGCGUUUAGUAUUUGGUCGUAGACCCGAAACCAGGUGAUCUACCCUUGGUCAGGUUGAAGUUCAGGUAACACUGAAUGGAGGACCGAACCGACUUACGUUGAAAAGUGAGCGGAUGAACUGAGGGUAGCGGAGAAAUUCCAAUCGAACCUGGAGAUAGCUGGUUCUCUCCGAAAUAGCUUUAGGGCUAGCCUCAAGUGAUGAUUAUUGGAGGUAGAGCACUGUUUGGACGAGGGGCCCCUCUCGGGUUACCGAAUUCAGACAAACUCCGAAUGCCAAUUAAUUUAACUUGGGAGUCAGAACAUGGGUGAUAAGGUCCGUGUUCGAAAGGGAAAC
rnacentral:rRNA from 1 species